AUGAGGUUCCCCACUUUAGUGUCUGCGUGGGCUGCGGCCGUGCUGCUCGCCGUGGCCGCCUUCUGGGCGGUGGCAGAUGCGUCGCCUCCGCCGUCGAAGUCUCUGAAGGUUGGGUUCUACGAGCACACAUGCCCACAGGCGGAGUACAUCGUGCGUGACGUCGUCCGCCGCGCCGUCGCCCGCAACCCAGGCCUCGCCGGUGGCAUCAUCCGCAUGCAUUUCCAUGAUUGCUUCGUCAGGGGUUGUGAUGGCUCGCUGCUGAUCAACUCGACACCCGGGAACUCGGCAGAGAAGGAUUCGCAGGCCAACAACCCAAGCAUGCGUGGCUUUGAGGUCAUCGACGAGGCCAAGGCAGCCUUAGAGGCGAGCUGCCCACGCACCGUCUCCUGCGCCGACGUGCUCGCCUUCGCGGCACGCGACGGGGCCUACCUUGCCGGCGGCAUCAACUACCGUGUGCCGUCUGGUCGCCGUGAUGGCCGUGUGUCCAUCGCCGAUGAGGUGCUCAACAACAACGUGCCAUUUCCGACCGACGAGGUCGCCGAGCUCGUGGCCAGCUUCAAGCGCAAGGGGCUCUCUGCAGACGACAUGGUCACGCUCUCCGGUGCACACACCAUCGGUCGGUCCCACUGCUCCUCCUUCACUCAGCGCAUUCACAAUUUCUCGGGUGAGGCCGGUCGGACCGACCCGUCCAUCGACAGGUCCUAUGCGGCGGAGCUGAAGCAUCAGUGCCCUCUGUCGACAAACAACCCUAGCGACCCCACAACGGUGGCGCUGGACCCGGUCACGCCGGGGGAGUUUGACAACCAGUAUUUCAAGAACGUACUGGCGCGCAAGGUGCCGCUCACCUCCGACCAGACACUACUCACCAGCCCCCGGACCGCCGGUAUCGUCGCGUUCCACGCCGCCAUGGAGAAGGCGUGGCAGGCCAAGUUCGCUGCCGCCAUGGUCAAGAUGGGCAAGGUGGAGGUUCUCACCGGUGAAGAGGGGGAGAUCAGGGAGAAGUGCUUUGUCGUCAACCACCACUAG
rnacentral:rRNA from 1 species